GAGCCAGACUCCUACGGGAGGCAGCAGUGGGGAAUAUUGCACAAUGGGGGAAACCCUGAUGCAGCAACGCCGCGUGAGUGAAGAAGUAUUUCGGUAUGUAAAGCUCUAUCAGCAGGGAAGAAGAUGACGGUACCUGACCAAGAAGCCCCGGCUAACUACGUGCCAGCAGCCGCGGUAAUACGUAGGGGGCAAGCGUUAUCCGGAUUUACUGGGUGUAAAGGGUGCGUAGGUGGCAUGGCAAGUCAGAAGUGAAAGCCCGGGGCUCAACCCCGCGGACUGCUUUUGAAACUGUCAGGCUGGAGUACAGGAGAGGUAAGCGGAAUUCCUAGUGUAGCGGUGAAAUGCGUAGAUAUUAGGAGGAACACCAGUGGCGAAGGCGGCUUACUGGACUGUAACUGACACUGAGGCACGAAAGCGUGGGGAGCAAACAGGAUUAGAUACCCUCGUAU
rnacentral:rRNA from 1 species